rnacentral:rRNA from 1 species
AGCGUAGGCGGGGAUGCAAGUUGAAUGUUUAAUCUAUGGGCUCAACCCAUAUCAGCGUUCAAAACUGUGUCUCUUGAGUGAAGUAGAGGUAGGCGGAAUUCCUAGUGUAGCGGUGAAAUGCGUAAAUAUUAGGAGGAACACCAGUGGCGAAGGCGGCCUACUGGGCUUUAACUGACGCUGAGGCUCGAAAGCGUGGGUAGCAAACA